GACGUAGGGCGCGAGCGUUGUCCGGAUUUAUUGGGCGUAAAGAGCUCGUAGGCGGCUUGUCGCGUCGAAUGUGAAAACUCGGGGCUCAACUCCGAGCUUGCAUUCGAUACGGGCAGGCUAGAGUUCGGUAGGGGAGACUGGAAUUCCUGGUGUAGCGGUGAAAUGCGCAGAUAUCAGGAGGAACACCGGUGGCGAAGGCGGGUCUCUGGGCAAUAACUGACGCUGAGGAGCGAAAGCGUGGGGAGCAAACAGG
rnacentral:rRNA from 1 species